rnacentral:misc_RNA from 1 species
AAAGUCGUAACAAGGUUUCCGUAGGUGAACCUGCGGAAGGAUCAUUAAAAGGAUGCCGGGAAACCGGUAGACCCCACCCGUGCCUAUAUACUCUUGUUGCUUUGGCAGGCCGUGGCCUUCCACCGUGGGCUCUGCCUGCGCGUGCUUGCCAGAGGACCAAACUCUGAAUUUUAGUGAUGUCUGAGUACUAUAUAAUAGUUAAAACUUUCAACAACGGAUCUCUUGGUUCUG